AACGAACGCUGGCGGCAUGCCUAACACAUGCAAGUCGAACGAGACCUUCGGGUCUAGUGGCGCACGGGUGCGUAACGCGUGGGAACCUGCCCUUAGGUUCGGAAUAACUCCCCGAAAGGGGUGCUAAUACCGGAUAAUGUCUUCGGACCAAAGAUUUAUCGCCUUUGGAUGGGCCCGCGUUGGAUUAGCUAGUUGGUAGGGUAAAAGCCUACCAAGGCGACGAUCCAUAGCUGGUCUGAGAGGAUGAUCAGCCACACUGGGACUGAGACACGGCCCAGACCCCUACGGGGGGCAGCAGGGGGGAAUAUUGGACAAGGGGCGAAAGCCUGACCCAGAAAUGCCGGGUGAGUGAUGAAGGCCUUAGGGUUGUAAAGCUCUUUUACCCGGGAUGAUAAUGACAGUACCGGGAGAAAAAGCCCCGGCUAACUCCGU
rnacentral:rRNA from 1 species